GAUGAAGAACGCAGCGAAAUGCGAUAAGUAAUGUGAAUUGCAGAAUUCAGUGAAUCAUCGAAUCUUUGAACGCACAUUGCGCCCGCCAGUAUUCUGGCGAGCAUGCCUGUUCGAGCGUCAUUUCAACCAUCAAGCCCCAGGCUUGUGUUGGAGCCCUGCGGCUGCCGCAGCCUCCCAAAACCAGUGGCGGGCUCGCUAUCACACCGAGUGCAGUAGUUUACUCUUCGCUCAGGGCGUGUGGCGGGUGCUAGCCGUGAAACCCCCAACUUCUCAAGGUUGACCUCGGAUCAGGUAGGAAUACCCGCUGAACUUAAGCAUACCAAUAAGCGGAGGA
rnacentral:misc_RNA from 1 species